CACUUCGCACUAGGAGUUUUCCUUGCCAACCCACCGCAAGCUCCACAGCCUGUGGGUUGAGGCCCAGUCGUCCUCUUCCCUCCCCUGUAAGAAUGAGAAUUACAGGUCUCAGCUUCAGCAGAAGGGAAUAUAGUCGCUCCUCGAUUUAAUCCAUUCCUUCCUCCCUCAUUGUGCCUGCCUGUGACCAGCUUGGUUUGUCUGCACCAAGUAGGUUCCUGGGCAAGCUAAGCCAAGCCGUUCUAUUUCUGGAGCCCUCUGCCGAGAGCCGCUUCAAGCAAGAUCAUGGAAAUGUUCUGAUGACAGUCCCACACCGCUACAGUUGCCAGAUCUUCCCAGCGCCAGCGGCGCGCGGCGGCGGCGCGUUUACCUAAGCGCGGAGAAGUAUUUAAAAUACAUUCAUCUGUGGGCGAACAAGGAGGAAAAGAAGAAACAGAGGGCUGCCAGGCGAAGCGGGAACCAGAGGAGUACCCGGGCGCCCCUGGGCAGGAGCCAGGAUGCCGAAGUGAGCUGCUCUUUGGUUCUCGAGUGGAAACGGAGUGGGGAGGGUCCCUGGGAACGCAACUUGGGGGCAGUUUCAGAUGGUUCCCGACAGGCGAGAGGAGCAAAGAAAUUCACUCAUCCGGAAAGCAGAUCGAGAAAGCCAGUGUGGCCGGAGCUGCGAUUUCCCUGCAAGGGUCGCGGGAGGAGGGGAGGCGAUGCGAGUGUUCCUGUUUGCGUUCGCUUGCGCCAGCUUCUCCAGCCCCUCAAGCACAAAUGGGGAAAAGUCAGCUAGGAUUAUUGACUAGAAACACUACGUUAGAAGCCGGGGCUGCCCCAGCAACUGGACAGGUGCCAGCUCUGAUCUCCAGGCUGGGUAGGUCUCACCUGUGGCAGAAACGCACAGCCUCCCCCGCCCUGAGUCCAGGAUUUCGGGAGGGCGGGAGUGGGGAGACUCCCGAGGGGAAGAAGGAUCCCCGAAGCACCUGCUCCACCGGAUCCCACUACCUGUGCGUCUUCCGAGUCCCCGCAUCCUCCGAGCUGGACCCCGGGCCAUUUUUCAAGUGUCUCACCAGCUUUUGGACGCAGAGCCUCAACGGUUGCUUAGCUCAUUAUAAAUUCUCUUCUUUAUACUUUUCAAGGCUGUAGCCGUAUAAACAAUCGGUUUUCUUUGUAUCAUAUAAAAUAAAAGAUUCAAGAUUUUUCCCCAGCGGCAGUAUACUUGUAAUUUUGUUUGGACUUUGAGAGCCGCUCUGUAGACACUAUAGGGUAUACUGAAUUCCAGAGAUGUAAGAAAUCGAGAGGCAAAAAGCUAAAAUUAUUUCAAAGGACACAUCUCUAAGAGACACUGUUGGACUGUAGCUGGUCUUUGAAAGAUUUAAUAACAAGUGUAUCUCUUCUCUGACCUUGUUGAAUUGUAGAACAGACCCUGACACCAGCAAUUUUCUUCACUUUUCCUGCCUUUCUAAUGAUUCCAUCACUACUUUCUCUUUUUUCUUCAG
ensembl:lncRNA